GGCAUUAUGCCAGAAUAAUUGGAUUACUUUGAUGAAGUAAAAUAUGAGAUUAUAUUUUUAUCUUUGAUGCUA
rnacentral:tRNA from 1 species